AGGCUGACAGCUGUAGCUCCGAUUCCACCCCCCUAGCCUGGGAACCUCCAUAUGACACAGGUGCGGCCCUAAAAAGCAAAAAUCCAUCAUCAAUAAAAAUAAAAGCUAAAAAAAACUUUUGAAAAGCUUUUCCUAGCACAAUGGCUUUUUCACUCCGUAAACAACACUGGGCUUUUUCACCACGGUUUGGAUUUCACUCUCCUACGGCACCAGUGUACAUGUUAUUUAGUAGAUACUGGCAGAGUCAUACAAUAACGAACACUGAAGAUGGAGGGCAACUUACUCAUCCUUUGAAAGGUUAAGGAAACCAACGCCAGAGCUAUGAGUAACCUGUCACACUUCUACAGAACCCAGUUCUUCUCAGGUCAAUCAUUAAACUGGCUUUCUUCCCCGUGGUGGUUACUGGCGGACCAGGCGAGUGUGUCGGGCACAGUACCACUACAGCUCAGGACCGGGCUUCUCGCAUACGUAACCCGGUUCACCCCGAUGUCUACAAACGUCCCCACGGACAAUAAUCCUUGCUGAACAGCAGUCUGGUGGCAAAGGGAAAUGAAGACGGACAAAACGACGUCACUCGACAUGGAAACCAGAAUGCUUUCUCUUUAAUGGGGGUGGGGAAAGUCUCCAUUUUAGCACGUGACACCAAGGCCCUUCCUCAGAGAGACGAUCAGAGCUCACUCUUGAGAGAGCUUAUUACCCACAAACCAGCCACACAUAAGACACAGGAGGAGAAUUCCAAAACUAAGGAAGAGGGUAAUGACGGGCUUCCUGCCAACGGUGUACAGACUGGAAUGAGCCUCGGAGAUGCUGUGCUGCAAGCCAACACUGGCAGGUCCAGUGACCAGCAGGGUACCCGGGAGUGACAGCACCUCCAGCUGCCUGCGAGCAUGACGGCUCCCUUCACAGACGAGACCAUUUAGGCUCAGAGACCUCAGGGGCCCUGAAGAGACUUCGCAGCUCUAGGCAAACUCUUUUGCGACGCUGAGUGCAAACUUACAUUGCGAAGCUACAGGUAUUGUUUGUUGUGACGUUGAGUCCAGGGCAGAAGUUUUGUCCCAAAAACUCAUUAUACUGCAAAGCCUGUAACACAAGGAGGAGCAGGGCAAGGAAAAGCGUUUGACAUUUCAAAGGGUCUCCAAAGAAUCAUCCCCAUCCUGUUUUCCGAGUUUCAUCUUUGCUGCCAUCUCUGAAAACAAACCAGGCUUGAUGUCCACAGUCUUUGUCACACCAGAGCAACUCAAAUGAUUUUCCCUGGCGGUCAAGAAGCCUGGGCUUGGGAUUGUGGCUUCUGGGACAAAAGAAGGAAAGCGUUUGGCCAGGAGGGGAGACCUCUGGCUAAAUUAUGCCAUAGCUCUUUCCUUCCCUCCCCAGUUUUAUAAUCCCCCCCCACACACAGGCAAUCAUUAAAGUAAUAGAGUGGCACUCAAUGAUCACUGCUAAUUUAGGGUAACAAUCUUUUUAUUGUUCUUGUUUGUUCUCAUCAAAACCAGUUCUAAUUCUUGGGAGUUAGAAACUUAAUCAUCCUACAUUAAAGCGCAGUAUUUUCUGGAGUGGGUUAGCUUUCCAAAGCCAGUAGUGGCUGUGUUAUACAGUCUUUACCUUCCUUGCAAUUUCCCUUUCAAUUUAGACUACGUACGCUAGGCUCCCAUCCUCUCAGGGUUCCCCUUACUGAACUGAAACACUGUUCUUUUUCUCUGCAUCACGCAGUCCGUCUCUGGCCUUCACUGUGGGUUUUCUUCAGCCCCCCCACCCUCAACAGCAGGGUGACUGAGAACAUCCUUGGUGAUUAUCGAGGUGCCCCAAGGCUUGAUGGGAAACUCUCCCUCAUUCUCCCAGAGCUGGCCCGACUCCGAGCUAGGGACA
rnacentral:lncRNA from 1 species